CCCUGGGUUAGUCGGGACCUAAGCUGAGGCCGAAAGGCGUAGGUGAUGGACAACAGGUUGAUAUUCCUGUACUACCGAUAACCGUUUGAGAGAAGGGAUGACACAGUAGGAUAAGCUAAGCACACGGUUGGUUAUGUGUGCCCAAGCAUUGAGGCAGUCAAAGUAGGCAAAUACGCUUUGAUAAUGCUGGGAUGUGAUGGGGAGCGAAAGUUAGUAGCGAAGUAGCUGAUUUCACACUGGCA
rnacentral:rRNA from 1 species